UCAUCGAUUAGCACUGACACUCUCUCAUGGCUUAGCAAGUUUUAACUCUUAAUAAGCUACAAAAAUUACUUGAAAUGGCUUUGAUGAUCAUUGGCAUUGGGGCACUUGUUGCUAGUCCUGUUGUAUAUGCAGUUAUCACAUCAGUUGGACCAACUGUUGUUGAAACAGCUAGUCAAACAUACGAUGAUCUUAGUUCAAAGGCGGCCGAAGGGAUCGCCGUGAUAAGAAAAACGUGUGACAAAAUUAGUGGGAGAUUUGACCAAGCUGUUAGGAAUACCGAAAAAAUUGUCUUUUGGGGUAUUCUUAACUUGAAAGCGGUUGGCCUGAUUAUUUGUAUUGGUUGUGCGAAGCUAUUGCAGGAUAUGUCAAUGAAUAUCAUAUUUCAACUGGUUUACGUCGGAAGCAGUGUUUUCACGCUUAUCUUUAUGAUUUUAAUAUUCGUGGACUUUUUCAACUUUUUUUCGGAUUGUACAUUACAGUAUGCCAAGAAAGGAGUUUUGUUAUGCCGGAAAUGUUGUCACAAUGUAGUCGAAGGUCGUUAUGUCUGUGAAAAAAUAAGCCCUCAAGCACGCAGAAAAUACAAAAAGGAAUGUAUUUUUCGUCAAGGAGAAACACUGGUUCAGACGUUACGAAAUCCAAGAGGGAUUCUUUUCGACGUGAUAACAGUAUGUAAAGCCGACAUACGGGAGACUGGGCAGCCAGCUGAGGCAUUUUCCUGGUUCCCAGGUUUCGCAUGGACAAUUGCAGAAUGCCCUGGGUGUAAUGAACAUUUAAAAUGGACUUUUACACAGUCUGGAAGACAUGAAUAUUCCUUUGCCGGAUUGAUAUUGUCCAAAUUAGACAGGCAAAGUUAACAUGUGUGAUACAUCAAACAUCAAUAUUCAGCAUUCAAAUUGGUGGACAACUUAACGAAUUCCUACACUCAUCAGACGAUUUUUCUUUGGCCCAUGACCAUUUUCGUUGAAAGCGACACCUGGGAAAGCUGGGUCAGAGACAGCAGGUGUACGAAAAUAUGCAGACGAUAUGUCAGCACACCAGUCAUUGCAAAAUUCUUCAUCGACAAACAUCACCUCAGUAAACUGAAAUGAGAAGAUUUUGGUUAAUGGAAAUUUCGCGGAAAUUAUCUUCCCCAGACCACGAG